rnacentral:rRNA from 1 species
CUUGGUCAUUUAGAGGAAGUAAAAGUCGUAACAAGGUUUCCGUAGGUGAACCUGCGGAAGGAUCAUUACAGAGUUCAUGCCCGAAAGGGUAGACCUCCCACCCUUGUGUAUUAUUACUUUGUUGCUUUGGCGAGCUGCCUUCGGGCCUUGUAUGCUCGCCAGAGAAAACCAAAACUCUUUUUAUUAAUGUCGUCUGAGUACUAUAUAAUAGUUAAAACUUUCAACAACGGAUCUCUUGGUUCUGGCAUCGAUGAAGAACGCAGCGAAAUGCGAUAAGUAAUGUGAAUUGCAGAAUUCAGUGAAUCAUCGAAUCUUUGAACGCACAUUGCGCCCCGUGGUAUUCCGCGGGGCAUGCCUGUUCGAGCGUCAUUUCAACCAAUCAAGCCUCGGCUUGGUCUUGGGGUUUGCGGUCCCGCAUCUCCUAAACUUAGUGGCGGUGCGAUUAAGCUCUGAGCGUAGUAAUUCUUCUCGCUAUAGGGUCUUGGUCGUUACUUGCCAGUAACCCCCAAUUUUUAUCAGGUUGACCUCGGAUCAGGUAGGGAUACCCGCUGAACUUAAGCAUAUCAAUAAGCGGAGGA